rnacentral:rRNA from 1 species
CUACGGGAGGCAGCAGUGAGGAAUAUUGCACAAUGGGGGGAACCCUGAUGCAGCAACGCCGCGUGGAGGAUGACGCAUUUCGGUGUGUAAACUCCUUUUAUAUGUCAAGAAAAUGACGGUAGCAUAUGAAUAAGCACCGGCUAACUCCGUGCCAGCAGCCGCGGUAAUACGGAGGGUGCGAGCGUUACUCGGAAUCACUGGGCGUAAAGGACGCGUAGGCGGGUUGGAAAGUCAGGUGUGAAAUCCUACAGCUUAACUGUAGAACUGCACUUGAAACUUCUAAUCUAGAGUAUGGGAGGGGAGAUGGAAUUAGUGGUGUAGGGGUAAAAUCCGUAGAUAUCACUAGGAAUACCUAAAGCGAAGGCGAUCUCCUGGAACAUUACUGACGCUAAGGCGUGAAAGCGUGGGGAGCAAACAGGAUUAGAUACCCGGGUAGUC